rnacentral:rRNA from 1 species
GACGUAGGGCGCGAGCGUUGUCCGGAUUUAUUGGGCGUAAAGAGCUCGUAGGCGGCUUGUCGCGUCGACUGUGAAAACCCGCGGCUCAACUGCGGGCCUGCAGCCGAUACGGGCAGGCUAGAGUUCGGCAGGGGAGACUGGAAGUUCCUGGUGUAGCGGUGAAAUGACGCAGAUAUCAGGAGGAACACCGAUGGCGAAGGCAGACUCGCUGGGCGUAACUGACGCUG